rfam:Tolypocladium ophioglossoides CBS 100239 scaffold_15, whole genome shotgun sequence.
GCCCCCUUGGCUAAGUGGUAUAGCGUGUCACUAGUAAUGACAAGAUCGUGUGUUCGAUUCACACAGGGGGCA